UUCAUUAUUUUUAAUUUCUAAAUUUUCUAUAAAACUGUUUUAUUACUUUGCGAAAUAAUAUCGAAUAGCCUACGAUGCUGAGUUGCAUCUCGAAGCAGUCGACGUUUACAUAACUUUAAAUGAUUUUUUCUUAGUCGAGCAAAUCGAAGAUUCUAAAGAAUAAUUGUAUUUAAUUUUUUUGCAAGUUCAGUCUAGUUGAAAGUUAGUUGAAAUACGGAGCUGCAAAUAACUCCCCUUUAUAGUACAGAAAUCGCUGGUCAUUGACAGAAACCUAAAAUGUGGCCUGUUCUAAUGAAUAUGCUACGGGUAAAUGCACCGUAUAUUACGUUACCGUUUGCUGCCAUUAUCGGAGUUAUUGGAUAUAAUAUCGAACGAAUAAUAUCUGAUAGAACAACACCAUUUAAAAACAGUGUAGAGGAGCAGAGGGAUGAGAGAAUGCUUAAAAAUCUUGAAAAUGUUGAUGCUAAAGAAAUGGAAAGCUUGAAGGAGAAAAAGUUUGUUCCUCGAACAAUAUUUGAAAAAAAUGUCUCCCCUUCACUACAGACUAAAAAUACAUAGUGCUCUUUUUUAGUUUAGGAUUUAGGCUUUGUGAUAGUAAAAAAAAGGUAAUUACAUUUGUAUGAUGUAUGCAAUUGUUCACCAUAAAAAUUUCAAGAUUUUCAAGUUAA